GUGCUGCGGCAUGCUUACACAUGCAAGUCGAACGAUGAAGCCCAGCUUGCUGGGUGGAUUAGUGGCGAACGGGUGAGUAACACGUGAGUAACCUGCCCUUGACUCUGGGAUAAGCCUGGGAAACUGGGUCUAAUACUGGAUAUGACUUCUCACCGCAUGGUGGGGGGUGGAAAGAUUUAUUGGUCUUGGAUGGACUCGCGGCCUAUCAGCUUGUUGGUGAGGUAAUGGCUCACCAAGGCGACGACGGGUAGCCGGCCUGAGAGGGUGACCGGCCACACUGGGACUGAGACACGGCCCAGACUCCUACGGGAGGCAGCAGUGGGGAAUAUUGCACAAUGGGCGCAAGCCUGAUGCAGCGACGCCGCGUGAGGGAUGACGGCCUUCGGGUUGUAAACCUCUUUCAGUAGGGAAGAAGCGAAAGUGACGGUACCUGCAGAAGAAGCGCCGGCUAACUACGUGCCAGCAGCCGCGGUAAUACGUAGGGCGCGAGCGUUAUCCGGAAUUAUUGGGCGUAAAGAGCUCGUAGGCGGUUUGUCGCGUCUGCCGUGAAAGUCCGGGGCUUAACCCCGGAUCUGCGGUGGGUACGGGCAGACUAGAGUGCAGUAGGGGAGGACUGGAAUUUCCUGGUGUAGCGGUGAAAUGCGCAGAUAUCAGGAGGAACACCGAUGGCGAAGGCAGGUCUCUGGGCUGUAACUGACGCUGAGGAGCGAAAGCAUGGGGAGCGAACAGGAUUAGAUACCCUGGUAGUCCAUGCCGUAAACGUUGGGCACUAGGUGUGGGGGACAUUCCACGUUUUCCGCGCCGUAGCUAACGCAUUAAGUGCCCCGCCUGGGGAGUACGGCCGCAAGGCUAAAACUCAAAGGAAUUGACGGGGGCCCGCACAAGCGGCGGAGCAUGCGGAUUAAUUCGAUGCAACGCGAAGAACCUUACCAAGGCUUGACAUGUUCCUGACCGCCGUAGAGAUACGGUUUCCCCUUUGGGGCAGGUUCACAGGUGGUGCAUGGUUGUCGUCAGCUCGUGUCGUGAGAUGUUGGGUUAAGUCCCGCAACGAGCGCAACCCUCGUUCCAUGUUGCCAGCACGUAGUGGUGGGGACUCAUGGGAGACUGCCGGGGUCAACUCGGAGGAAGGUGGGGACGACGUCAAAUCAUCAUGCCCCUUAUGUCUUGGGCUUCACGCAUGCUACAAUGGCCGGUACAAUGGGUUGCGAUACUGUGAGGUGGAGCUAAUCCCAAAAAGCCGGUCUCAGUUCGGAUUGGGGUCUGCAACUCGACCCCAUGAAGUCGGAGUCGCUAGUAAUCGCAGAUCAGCAACGCUGCGGUGAAUACGUUCCCGGGCCUUGUACACACCGCCCGUCAAGUCACGAAAGUUGGUAACACCCGAAGCCGGUGGCCUAACCCUUGUGGGGGGAGCCGUCGAAGGGGGGAACCGGAUAU
rnacentral:rRNA from 1 species